CAGCAGCGCAAGCAAGCU
rnacentral:snRNA from 1 species